rnacentral:lncRNA from 1 species
UUUGCCACUGAAUGUACCGCCAAUUGUGUUGAUCAUACAUUGUCACAUCCAUCCCUGAGAAGCUAUGGACAGCCUAGACACAUUUAGAGCAGAAAAUGUAGUAACACAAACACAAGACGCCUACUCUGUGUACUGUGCAUGCUCUGUACGCGCUGAACAUAUUUAACUGCUCACAUCUUGUUUUGCUUUUGGAGAUCAAUGAUAUGGAUAACGCUCUGCUAGAAAGUUAUGUUCCAUCUUAUCUUUUCAAUUGCUGAGAAUUUCUCUGACUUUGUUUUACAUAUACGCGCUUAUAAAC